AUGAUCAAGGAGAAGAAGAUCAUUGAUGUCCUCUUAUCCGCUGAAACUACUGAAGCUCAAGGUUUUAUUUUUGAGGGCAGAGAUGAUUAUGCAGAAAUCGUCUAUAGGGAUGAUGAGGAGGAGGAUAUGGAUAGUACAGGGAUGCCAGGGAGUGGCAUUGGAGAAGCGAUGAGAGUCAAUGAAUUGCUCGAGCCACGUAGAAGUGCGAGACUAAGACAACUUUAUGAAGAAGAAGAAUUCGAUUAUGAAGAAGAGGAGUUUGAUGAUGAUGAGGAGAUGCAUUCAGAUGAGGAGAAUGACUAUUGA
rnacentral:rRNA from 1 species